rnacentral:rRNA from 1 species
UACGUAGGAUGCAAGCGUUGUCCGGAAUUAUUGGGCGUAAAGAGCGCGCAGGCGGCCUUAUAAGUCAGUGCUGAAAUAUCCCGGCUUAACCGGGAGGGUGGCAUUGAUACUGUAGGGCUUGAGUCGAGUUGAGGUUGGCGGAAUUGACGGUGUAGCGGUGAAAUGCUUAGAUAUCGUCAAGAACACCGAUAGUGAAGACAGCUAACUAAGCUCAAACUGACGCUGAGGCACGAAAGUGUGGGGAUCAAACAGG